rnacentral:rRNA from 1 species
GUCUUUCUGAAUCCGCCGCAAGGCAAAACAAAUGAAUCAAAACUUUCAACAACGGAUCUCUUGGUUCUGGCAUCGAUGAAGAACGCAGCGAAAUGCGAUAAGUAAUGUGAAUUGCAGAAUUCAGUGAAUCAUCGAAUCUUUGAACGCACAUUGCGCC